rnacentral:lncRNA from 1 species
AUGAAAGCAUCGGAAAAGGAAACGGGGCUGAAAAGGCUCAGAUCCCGAGCGAGCGGGCCUUUGUUUUCCCAUUGUGCUAGCCCAGCUGAGCCUGUGUUGGAGCAGAGCCCUCCUGCAGCUGGGCCCAAAAACGGCAGCCAAAGAGAAACCCCGGCAACCGCCCGUGGCAGAGAGAGGGAUGUGCGGCGGCUGCAGCGCUCGGCCGUGGUGGAGGAGAGGUUUAUUGGACAGUUAUACAACACUUCAAGGUCUUUCAUCUUUUUCUGCCUGUCCAUUUACAUCAAGCCCAAGAGAGCAGACAAAGCUGUCACUAACCAGCAAGCUGUGUGAGGGAAGCCAGGAUGCAAUGACUUGUGAGUAAACAGCAAGAAAACCAGUCUAUAAUCAAAGCCUGCCCAAACUGUCCUAUGGAACGCUUGCAUAUUAAUGCUCUGAGGUUGCUUAGCUUGCCUGUGCAAUGUGGUCUAUAAUAUGACCCGCUGAACUGCUUAUCCUCUGCCUCUGCUUCAGAUUUGCACCUCACUUGUCUGUAGCUUUCAGCCCUGAUUGCUCUGGGCACCAAUGGCCUUGCUGCUCGAGUCCUUCUGACCAUCUCUUUACUCUGGAAGAGGCACUGGGAGAGCCACUCAUGUUGCCAGUGGCUGGGAAAUGAUGGGGAUACCAAGAAAUUAAAUAGGCUAGAAGACAGCCUGUCUUCUUGCCAAUGUAGAGUGGCAAUGUGUGAGCAAUAGUGUUGUACGUGUUGUACAAAACAGGAUGAGGGUUUUCCUGGCAGGCUUUUCCUCAUAGCUCCUUUCAAAAACACUACCUUUCCAUUGGGAACAGACAGUUAAUAUCUACCUUGCAGUCAUUAAGCUUUUUUGCAGCUGUACUAGAACUUGCUGCUUAGAGACCUUUACAAGCUGGUAUCUUGUAUGUGGUGAUACUUAAAGAUAUUUUCAUUCCCAAACUCAGCCAACCAUUUAGCUUUACUCUUGGAAGCUGUGUAGUUCUGGAGGAGGACUUGGCCCUUCUGCUGCUCAGUUCCACAAUACUGACUCAGCCUUAGGUUUAGUCCAAGUCUGUGUCUUGUGAUGACCAGGAAGAGGGAUCUGGCUAGCAGAAACUGUAGCGAGGUAGUCCUAGAUGACCAUAGAAAAGAUGCAGCCAUAAUUGCCAGAACUUGCAGCACAGUCCAGCUGUGAUACCCACCCUAUAAGGCCAAGUAACUUUACUGCAUCCUGAUCUCAGCCUCUGUUUCUAAUCUGAGCUAGGUGACUUGGCUUGCUGGAGUACUGGAGAUAACCCAAAGGUCUUGGGAUGAAUCUUAUUGAUUACUGUAUACAGCUAU